rnacentral:tRNA from 1 species
CCCCCGGUUACCCCACCCCAAAACGCAAAUUUGAAAAACCCCCCCUCAGGGGGCCGGGUUCUCUCCCGUUUUCUAAUUAGACGGAGAGAAG